GCGUAAAGGGUACGUAGACGAUUGAUUGACAAUAUAGUAAAAGACGGAAGAAGAACUUCUUUAAUCUAUAUUCACUGAUCAUUUUGAGUCAAUAGGCGGAAUUCAGAAUACUUGAAGGAGAGGUAAAAUUCGUUGAUAUAGGUAAACUUUCAGAGGCGAAAGCAUUUUCCGAUGUUGGUCUGACGUUAGGUACGAAAGCUUGGGGAGAAAGAGGAUUAGAGACCUCGUAGUCCAUGCCUUAAACAAUGAGUGUUCAACGUCUUAGAAGUUAUCAAUAUAACUUCUUGGGGGUUUACAGCUAACGCGUGAAACACCGCCUGGGGAAUGUGGCCGCAAGGUUAAACUCAAAGGAAUUGACGGAGGCUCAUACAAGG
rnacentral:rRNA from 1 species